CUUAAUUUGUGUGGAUACAGUCUUCGAAGCUGUUUUCUGCCAUUUUUCUGCUGCAGCCCUUUCUUCUUCAUCCUUUCUUCUUCUCCUCUUCCUCCUCCAUAGGAGUACGAUCUGACUGAUUCCAUCUCUAUUUCUUCAAAAAAGCUGCUCAUCCUCGUCCUUUCAACUACCGCGAGGGAGUUUUUUCGGUGUUGGAAUUUGAGUUUUGGGUAGUUGAUAUAGUUUGGUUUUUUGGUGGUGAACCCGGGCCUUGAGGCUCGGAGAUCGAAAACUAUGGGUGCGGAGACUGAGCAGCAAAGCUGGAUUCAUGAUAAACCUGAUCCCAAUUUUCACUGCUUGCAGAAAUUCAGGCUAUAUGAGACGCGUUCGAAUUUUUAUCUGAUUGGAAGAGAUAAGAACCGAACGUUUUGGAAAGUGUUAAAGAUCAGCAGAUUGGAACCAAGUGAUCUGAACAUUCUUGAAGAUUCUACCACAUAUACGGAUAAUGAGUGCUUUGACCUGCUGAAGCGGAUACACGAAGGAAACAAGUUAACGGGUGGGCUUAAAUUUGUGACCACUUGUUAUGGAAUUGUUGGUAUCAUCAAGUUUUUAGGACCGCAUUACAUGAUAUUGAUAACAAAGCGAAGAAAGAUUGGAACCAUCUGCGGCCAUGCAGUUUAUUCAAUUACAAAGAGCGAAAUGAUUCCAAUUCCAAAUUCUACUGCCCGGUCCAAUUUGGCUAUUUCUAAGGAUGAAAACAGAUACAAGAAGCUCUUACGCACAGUGGAUCUUAGGAAAGACUUCUUUUUCAGCUACUCAUACAAUGUCAUGCGUUGCCUUCAAAAGAACAUUUGUGAUAAUAAGACAGGACAUUUACUUUACGAUACAAUGUUUGUCUGGAAUGAGUUUUUGACCCGUGGAAUCCGGAACAUUCUCAAGAAUACCAUCUGGACUGUUGCCUUAGUGUAUGGUUUCUUUAAACAGGUUGAUCUUUCUAUUUCUGGUAGAGAUUUCAAGUUGACACUCAUUGCUAGACGAUCACGUCAUUAUGCUGGUACAAGAUUUCUAAAAAGAGGUGUUAACGAGAAGGGAAGAGUAGCUAAUGAUGUUGAGACAGAACAGAUUGUUUUCGAAAAUGCUUCCGAUGGACGACCGACUCAAAUAAGUUCAGUGGUGCAAAAUCGAGGAUCGAUCCCCCUAUUUUGGUCCCAGGAAACCUCACGGCUGAAUAUUAGGCCCGAUAUCAUAUUGUCAAAGAAGGACCAAAAUUAUGAAGCCACAAGACUACACUUUGAGAAUCUUGUUUUGAGAUAUGGGAAUCCUAUAAUUAUAUUGAACUUGAUUAAGACGCGCGAGAAGAAGCCACGAGAAAGUGUCCUCCGUGCUGAGUUUGCAAAUGCUAUAAGAUUCAUAAACAAAAGUUUAUCUGCAGAGAACCGCCUAAGAUUUCUUCACUGGGAUUUGAACAAACAUGCGAAAAGCAAAGCUUCCAACGUUUUGAUGCAGCUUGGAAGGGUUGCUACAUACGCGUUGAACUUAACUGGAAUCUUCUACUGUCAAAUAGCCUCCAAUUUAAGCUCGGAGGAGUUGUUAAGUUGGACCUACUUUAAGAAAAAUCAAGGUACCGAUUCUUCCGUGGAGAAUCUAUCAACAGAAGAAGAAAAUGAAGAAAAUCCAGAAAAAGAUGUUAGUAAUAGGGUGUAUGCUAAUGGCAUACUUGAAAAUCAUCCAGUUGCAAUGUUUCAAAAUGGUGUUCUAAGGACCAAUUGUAUAGACUGUUUAGACCGGACAAAUGUCGCCCAAUAUGCUUAUGGGCUAGUUGCUUUAGGACGUCAAUUACAUACUUUAGGGUUUACUGAGUCCCCAAAAAUUGAUCUGGACAACCCUUUGGCGGAGGAUUUGAUGCGGGCUUAUGAAAACAUGGGUGACACCCUUGCAUUACAAUAUGGUGGUUCUGCAGCACAUAAUAAGAUAUUUUCCGAGAGGAGAGGCCAAUGGAAAGCCGCAACACAGUCUCAGGAAUUUUUCAGAACACUACAACGUUAUUGCAGCAAUGCAUACCUAGAUGCUGAGAAACAACGUGCCAUUAACGUGUUCUUAGGUUACUAUCAGCCACAGCAGGGAAAACCAGCUUUGUGGGAAUUGGACUCUGACCAGCAUUAUGAUCUUGGGAAGCGCUUUCCUGAUCUUAUUGAAGAGAAUUUCAGGACAUCUUUUAAAAGAUCACUAUCAGAUGGCAAUAUACUUGGUCAGAGUGAGUCUGAUAUGAUGAAUAUACAUGACGGAAGCAGCAGGCACUUUCCUCAUUUGAACGAAGGAAGCAGUAAAGGCUUCUCUGAGUCUGCCCCAGAGGUCUCGACUUGCGAAUCAGAUAUAUCUCUUUGCAGGUAUACUCCCUCUGUGUGCACUAGACAACUUCAUGCAAACAUGCAGGAUGAUCAAAUGCUCGAAGAUGAUCAUCUUUGUCAUGAUGAACAUGGGGAUUCAUGCAGCUGCUCUAAUUUUCUGGAUAUGGACUGGAUUUCUUCAUCUGGGAAUUCUUGUGAAGAUGAGUUAUGUGAAAGGUCUGUUGCCAGUCUCUCAUCAGAAAAUGUUACAAGUGAGAUGAAGAUCGACUUUAUCUCGUCUGCAAGUGAGUCAGGAUCAAGCUCAAAGGUAAAAGAACGAUCUGGAACUGGAACUGACGUUAGUCGCGACGAUAUCGUCACUGAAUACUCCGAGCAUUUUGUCGACUGGGUGAGCCAUGGUGGGGUGCUUUUCUGGUGAAGCUGACUCAAAGUUACUAAUCAACAUUGACUUCUUUCAUCCAUUAAAUUACAUCCGAAGGAUGUAGUUUCUGUAGCCAAAAGUGAAAACAUAACAACAUCAUCAUCAUCAUCAGUCAGCUCGACGAGGCAGUAAAUAAACAACGGUAAGAUACACUUGCGGAAAGAGUGAGAGGGAGAGAAAUGAAAUGAAAUAGUUGCUAUUCUGCAGAAAUUUUUGUUGGAGUUUAAUCUUCAGGUCAUCUGUGAGUAGCAGCAAUUACUCUGACUUGUAGAGAGAGAGAGACCUCUUCCCCCAUAAAGAGAGAGGCCAAAAGAAAAGCUAAGCUGGGAAGUAGAAGAAGAAAGAAUAAAGUAUGAAGCGCUAACUUAUAUAUCUGGAGCCACACAAAAUAACUCCAGGUUCAUAUGACAGCAAAUUCUCCUCGAGCCCACCAUUAUUGGGCAAACAUGAUAGUUUAUAAACAGAGAGAAGAUCAAGGCAUAAUCUUUACGGGUUGUUCUGGUGAUUGGUGUUGGAAGUUAUCAUAUACUUUACUAUUAUUAUUAUUAUUUUUUAAUUUCUUUUCAUUACUUCUCUCGGUGAGAUUUUAUACUGCAUGCCUACACUAUAAAUGCAUUUUCUGUUUCAUUUUCA